rnacentral:rRNA from 1 species
GAUGAACGCUGGCGGCGUGCCUAAUACAUGCAAGUCGAGCGAACAGACGAGGAGCUUGCUCCUCUGACGUUAGCGGCGGACGGGUGAGUAACACGUGGAUAACCUACUUAUAAGACUGGGAUAACUUCGGGAAACCGGAGCUAAUACCGGAUAAUAUAUUGAACCGCAUGGUUCAAUAGUGAAAGACGGUUUUGCUGUCACUUAUAGAUGGAUCCGCGCCGCAUUAGCUAGUUGGUAAGGUAACGGCUUACCAAGGCGACGAGGCGUAGCCGACCUGAGAGAGUGAUCGGCCACAUUGGAACUGAGACACGCUCCAGACUACUACGGUAGGCACCAGUAGGGAAUCUUCCGCAAUGGGCGAAAGCCUGACGGAGCAACGCCGCGUGAGUGAUGAAGGUCUUCGGAUCGUAAAACUCUGUUAUUAGGGAAGAACAAAUGUGUAAGUAACUAUGCACGUCUUGACGGUACCUAAUCAGAAAGCCACGGCUAACUACGUG